rnacentral:rRNA from 1 species
GGCUUAGAGUUUGAUCAUGGCUCAGGAUGAACGCUAGCUACAGGCUUAACACAUGCAAGUCGAGGGGCAGCAUUUUAGUUUGCUUGCAAACUGAAGAUGGCGACCGGCGCACGGGUGAGUAACACGUAUCCAACCUGCCGAUAACUCCGGAAUAGCCUUUCGAAAGAAAGAUUAAUACCGGAUAGUAUACGAAUAUCGCAUGAUAUUUUUAUUAAAGAAUUUCGGUUAUCGAUGGGGAUGCGUUCCAUUAGUUUGUUGGCGGGGUAACGGCCCACCAAGACUACGAUGGAUAGGGGUUCUGAGAGGAAGGUCCCCCACAUUGGAACUGAGACACGGUCCAAACUCCUACGGGAGGCAGCAGUGAGGAAUAUUGGUCAAUGGGCGAGAGCCUGAACCAGCCAAGUAGCGUGAAGGAUGAAGGCUCUAUGGGUCGUAAACUUCUUUUAUAUGGGAAUAAAGUUUUCCACGUGUGGAAUUUUGUAUGUACCAUAUGAAUAAGGAUCGGCUAACUCCGUGCCAGCAGCCGCGGUAAUACGGAGGACCCGAGCGUUAUCCGGAUUUAUUGGGUUUAAAGGGAGCGUAGGUGGAUUGUUAAGUCAGUUGUGAAAGUUUGCGGCUCAACCGUAAAAUUGCAGUUGAAACUGGCAGUCUUGAGUACAGUAGAGGUGGGCGGAAUUCGUGGUGUAGCGGUGAAAUGCUUAGAUAUCACGAAGAACUCCGAUUGCGAAGGCAGCUCACUAGACUGUUACUGACACUGAUGCUCGAAAGUGUGGGUAUCAAACAGGAUUAGAUACCCUGGUAGUCCACACAGUAAACGAUGAAUACUCGCUGUUUGCGAUAUACAGUAAGCGGGCCAAGCGAAAGCAUUAAGUA